AUAAACCACGAUAUCGAAAAUAGGUGUAGAAAUGAUGAUAUUU
rnacentral:guide_RNA from 1 species